UACGGAGGAUGCGAGCGUUAUCCGGAUUUAUUGGGUUUAAAGGGUGCGCAGGCGGGCUGUUAAGCCGGCGGUAAAAAUUCAGGGCUCAACCCUGUCGAGCCGUCGGAACUGGGGGCCUUGAGUGCGGCGGAGGCAUGCGGAAUGCGCGGUGUAGCGGUGAAAUGCAUAGAUAUCGCGCAGAACCCCGAUUGCGAAGGCAGCGUGCCGUGCCGCCACUGACGCUGAGGCACGAAAGCGCGGGGAUCGAACAGG
rnacentral:rRNA from 1 species